rnacentral:tRNA from 1 species
CAUAGUGUAGCUUAGUUCCAAAGCAUCUGGCCUACACCCAGAAGAAUUCAUAAAAUUGAACACUUUGA